rnacentral:rRNA from 1 species
UACGUAGGGUGCAAGCGUUGUCCGGAAUUAUUGGGCGUAAAGAGCUCGUAGGCGGUCUGUCGCGUCUGCUGUGAAAACUCAGGGCUUAACCCUGAGCUUGCAGUGGGUACGGGCAGACUAGAGUGCGGUAGGGGAGACUGGGAUUCCUGGUGUAGCGGUGAAAUGCGCAGAUAUCAGGAAGAACACCCGUGGCGAAAGCGGCUCUCUGGAACGGUACUGACGCUGAGACGCGAAAGCGUGGGGAGCGAACAGG